AUACUUACCUGGACGGAGUCAAUGGGUGAUCUUGAAGAUCCAUGGCCUAGGCUGGUGACCUCAUUGCACUUAGGAGGGGUGCUCGCCUACGGUCGUCCCAAGUGGUUGAGCCUACGUCAUAAUUUGUGGCAGAGGGGGCCUGCGUUCGCGCGGCCCCUAC
rfam:Solanum tuberosum cultivar DM 1-3 516 R44 scf00180_24, whole genome shotgun sequence.